UACGGGGGGGGCAAGCGUUGUUCGGAAUUACUGGGCGUAAAGGGCUCGUAGGUGGCCAACUAAGUCAGACGUGAAAUCCCUCGGCUUAACCGGGGAACUGCGUCUGAUACUGGAUGGCUUGAGUUCGGGAGAGGGAUGCGGAAUUCCAGGUGUAGCGGUGAAAUGCGUAGCUAUCUGGAGGAACACCGGUGGCGAAGGCGGCAUCCUGGACCGACACUGACACUGAGGAGCGAAAGCCAGGGGAGCAAACGGG
rnacentral:rRNA from 1 species